UACAGAGACUGCAAGCGUUAUUCGGAUUCACUGGGCGUAAAGGGUGCGCAGGCGGCCAUAUGUGUGAGGCGUGAAAGCCCGGGGCUUAACCCCGGAAUUGCACCUCAAACUAUAUGGCUAGAGCAUUGGAGAGGGUAGCGGAAUUCACGGUGUAGCAGUGAAAUGCGUAGAUAUCGAUGAGGAACACCAGAGGCGAAGGCGGCUACCUGGACAAUUGCUGACGCUCGAAGGCACGGAAAGCAGUGGGGAGCAAAAGGG
rnacentral:rRNA from 1 species